AGCAUAGCCGCGGUAAUACGAAGGGUGCAAGCGUUAAUCGGAAUUACUGGGCGUAAAGCGUGCGUAGGCGGUUUGUUAAGUCUGUUGUGAAAUCCCCGGGCUCAACCUGGGAAUGGCAAUGGAUACUGGCAAGCUAGAGUGUGUCAGAGGAUGGUGGAAUUCCCGGUGUAGCGGUGAAAUGCGUAGAGAUCGGGAGGAACAUCAGUGGCGAAGGCGGCCAUCUGGGACAACACUGACGCUGAGGCACGAAAGCGUGGGGAGCAAACAGGAUUAGAUACCCGCGUAGUCCCUGUCUCUUAUACC
rnacentral:rRNA from 1 species